rnacentral:lncRNA from 1 species
AAAAACUACAACCCAAUAUACACUAUAGGAUUUUGGAGAAUCACACCUAACUCACUACUAUCUUUUAGACAAAAUAGAAAUUGAAUUCCACCCAAACACAUUAAUGAAAAGUAAAAUUUCAAUAAUAUUUCAAAUGGUGUUGUUGAACACCAUCUUAUUCCUACUAAUCCGAACACACCAACAAACCAUCAACCACAAAAAAGUGAAAGAAAAAUGUUUGACAAUAUCAACCAAGCUCACCAAGAAAAGCUCUAAGAAACCCACCCCGACGUCA